rnacentral:rRNA from 1 species
AGAGUUUGAUCCUGGCUCAGGACGAACGCUGGCGGCGUGCUUAACACAUGCAAGUCGAGCGAUGAAACACCUUCGGGUGUGAAUUAGCGGCGAACGGGUGAGGAACACGUGAGAAAUCUGCCUUCAACACUGGGAUAACUCCGGGAAACCGGGGCUAAUACCGGAUAUGAAAUCUGCGGGCAUCCGCGGAUUUGGAAAGUUUUUCGGUUGAAGAUGAUCUCGCGGCCUAUCAGCUUGUUGGUGAGGUAAUGGCUCACCAAGGCGACGACGGGUAGCCGGCCUGAGAGGGCGACCGGCCACACUGGGACUGAGACACGGCCCAGACUCCUACGGGAGGCAGCAGUGGGGAAUAUUGGGCAAUGGAGGAAACUCUGACCCAGCGACGCCGCGUGCGGGAUGAAGGCCUUCGGGUUGUAAACCGCUUUCAGCAGGGAAGAAGCGAAAGUGACGGUACCUGCAGAAGAAGCACCGGCUAACUAUGUGCCAGCAGCCGCGGUAAUACAUAGGGUGCAAGCGUUGUCCGGAAUUAUUGGGCGUAAAGAGCUCGUAGGUGGUUCGUCACGUCGGAUGUGAAACUCUGGGGCUUAACCCCAGACCUGCAUUCGAUACGGGCGAGCUUGAGUAUGGUAGGGGAGUCUGGAAUUCCUGGUGUAGCGGUGGAAUGCGCAGAUAUCANNNNNAACACCAAUGGCGAAGGCAGGACUCUGGGCCAUUACUGACACUGA